rnacentral:rRNA from 1 species
UACGUAGGGUGCGAGCGUUAAUCGGAAUUACUGGGCGUAAAGCGUGCGCAGGCGGUUCGUCGUGUCUGAUGUGAAAGCCCCGAGCUCAACCUGGGAAUGGCAUUGGAAACUGGCGGACUAGAGUGUGGCAGAGGGGGGUGGAAUUCCGCGUGUAGCAGUGAAAUGCGUAGAGAUGCGGAGGAACACCGAUGGCGAAGGCAGCCCCCUGGGCUAACACUGACGCUCAGGCACGAAAGCGUGGGGAGCAAACAGG